rnacentral:tRNA from 1 species
GGGUGGUUAGCUCAGUUGGUAGAGCGUCUCGCUUACACCGAGAAUGUCGGCGGUUCGAACCCGUCACCACCCACCA